GUGCCAGCAGCCGCGGUAAUACGUAGGUGGCAAGCGUUGUCCGGAUUUAUUGGGCGUAAAGCAUGCGUAGGCGGAUAUUUAAGUGGGAUGUGAAAUCCCGGGGCUUAACCCCGGUGCUGCAUUUCAAACUGGAUAUCUAGAGUGCAGGAGAGGAAAGCGGAAUUCCUAGUGUAGCGGUGAAAUGCGUAGAUAUUAGGAAGAACACCAGUGGCGAAGGCGGCUUUCUGGACUGUAACUGACGCUGAGGCAUGAAAGCGUGGGUAGCAAACAGGAUUAGAUACCCUGGUAGUCC
rnacentral:rRNA from 1 species